AAUCGAUUCACUGAUUGUCCAUUCGCAUUUCUUGUUAGAAACAUUUUCAAUUAUUAUCAUUAUUCAAUGAUAAUGAUGAUAAUAUUUAAUUCACAAGAGGUGUUAAUGGACAUCAUAUGAUCGAUU
ncrna:Schistosoma japonicum microRNA sja-mir-219 precursor